rnacentral:tRNA from 1 species
CGGGGAGUAGCUCAGAGAGGCAGAGCACUCGGCUGGGGGCCGAGAGGUCGCAGGGGCGGAACCUGUCUCCCCGA